rnacentral:miRNA from 1 species
CUAAAAGAUAUUAAAGCAAAAUAU